rnacentral:rRNA from 1 species
CCUACGGGCGGCAGCAGUGGGGAAUAUUGGACAAUGGGGGCAACCCUGAUCCAGCCAUGCCGCGUGUGUGAAGAAGGCCCUCGGGUUGUAAAGCACUUUCAGUGAGGAAGAACGCCUGGUGGUUAAUACCCAUCAGGAAAGACAUCACUCACAGAAGAAGCACCGGCUAACUCCGUGCCAGCAGCCGCGGUAAUACGGAGGGUGCGAGCGUUAAUCGGAAUUACUGGGCGUAAAGCGCGCGUAGGUGGCUUGAUAAGCCGGUUGUGAAAGCCCCGGGCUCAACCUGGGAACGGCAUCCGGAACUGGCGAGCUAGAGUGCAGGAGAGGAAGGUAGAAUUCCCGGUGUAGCGGUGAAAUGCGUAGAGAUCGGGAGGAAUACCAGUGGCGAAGGCGGCCUUCUGGACUGACACUGACACUGAGGUGCGAAAGCGUGGGUAGCAAACAGGAUUAGAUACCCUGGUAGUC